ACUACGGGUGGCUGCAGUGAGGAAUAUUGGUCAAUGGACGCAAGUCUGAACCAGCCAUGCCGCGUGCAGGAAGACGGCUCUAUGAGUUGUAAACUGCUUUUGUACGAGGGUAAACGCAGAUACGCGUAUCUGUCUGAAAGUAUCGUACGAUUACGGAUCGGCUAAAUCUGUGCCAGCAGCCGCGGUAAUACGGAGGAUUCAAGCGUUAUCCGGAUUUAGUGGGGUUAAAGGGUGCGUAGGCGGUCGGGUAAGUUAGAGGUGAAAUCCCGAGGCUCAACUUCGGAAUUGCCUCUGAUACUGUUCGGCUAGAGAGUAGUUGCGGUAGGCGGAAUGUAUGGUGUAGCGGUGAAAUGCUUAGAGAUCAUACAGAACACCGAUUGCGAAGGCAGCUUACCAGGCUACUUCUGACGUUGAGGCACGAAAGCGUGGGGAGCAAACAGGAUUAGAUACCCUAGUAGUC
rnacentral:rRNA from 1 species